ACACUCCAAGGCUGGUCAUUUACUCCCUUUGGCCGAAAAUGUGAAGAGAGAAAAGAGAGAAACUUUCAUGACCCUUUAAUCUUCAAAGCUUGAUUUCUUCUUAACUAAAACUCAAAUCAAAACUCCGAUUUCACCAAAAUGAUCCUCUCUUCUUCCUCUACAUAACCAUGUGACUUAUCAAGGCUGGAAAUAAGGAAUCAUGCUUAACUUGACUUGAGGGCCAAGAAACGUGAAUUUUCAGCAAGUAUAAGGAGGAAAAAGUGCUUAAGGACCACCUGAAAAUCUAACUGAAUUAGGAGCAGCAAAACCAGGUAUUUUCUGGCUGAAAUUGAGGGAGCUGAGCAAAAAUCUGACUUAGGCUGAAAAAGGACUGCUGAUGCUGUUGGAUCCUGACCUCCCUGCACUCGAAAUGGAUUUUCUGGAGCUACAGGAGUCCAAUUGGCGCGCUCUCAACGGCGUUGGAAAGUAGACAUCCAGGGCUUUCCAGCAAUAUAUAAUAGUCCAUACUUUGCGCAAGAAUUGACGACGUAACUUGGCGUUGAACGCCAAGUACACGCUGCUGUCUGGAGUUAAACGCCAGAAAAACGUCAUGAUCCGGAGUUAAACGCCCAAAACACGUCAAAACCUGGAGUUUGACGCCAAGAAAGGCCUUAACACGUGGAAAGCAUUAGUCUCAGCCCCAGCACACACCAAGUGGGCCCCAGAAGUGGAUUUCUGCACCAAUUAUCUUAGUUUAUUCAAUUUCUGUAAACCUAGGUUACUAGUUUACUAUUUAAACAACUUUUACAGACUUAUC